GUGCACGCUGGCGAUAGGCCUAACCCCUGCAAGUCGCACGGCAGCACAGUAAGAGCUUGCUCUUACGGGUGGCGAGUGGCGGACGGGUGAGGAAUACAUCGGAAUCUACUUUUUCGUGGGGGAUAACGUAGGGAAACUUACGCUAAUACCGCAUACGACCUACUGGUGAAAGCAGGGGAUCUUCGGACCUUGCGCGAUUGAAUGAGCCGAUGUCGGAUUAGCUAGUUGGCGGGGUAAAGGCCCACCAAGGCGACGAUCCGUAGCUGGUCUGAGAGGAUGAUCAGCCACACUGGAACUGAGACACGGUCCAGACUCCUGCGGGAGGCAGCAGUGGGGAAUAUUGGACAAUGGGCGCAAGCCUGAUCCAGCCAUACCGCGUGGGUGAAGAAGGCCUUCGGGUUGUAAAGCCCUUUUGUUGGGAAAGAAAAGCAGCAGGUUAAUACCCCGCUGUUCUGACGGUACCCAAAGAAUAAGCACCGGCUAACUUCGUG
rnacentral:rRNA from 1 species